rnacentral:rRNA from 1 species
CAGUAGCGUAUAUUAAAGUUGUUGCAGUUAAAAAGCUCGUAGUUGGAUUUCUGGCUCGAUGACCUCUGACCCGCGUGUUAUUCACGUGAGUGUCGGCUGGCAUCUGCCAUCCUUCCAGAAAACCUUGCUACCCUUCGCUGGGCCGGUGAGGCGAUCUGGAACUUUUACUUUGAAAAAUUAGAGUGUUCAAAGCAGGCUUUCGCUAUGAAUACAUUAGCAUGGAAUAAUAACUUAGGGCGUUUGGUUCUAUUUUGUUGGUUUCUUAGGAUCGAAGCAAUGAUUGAUAGGGAUAGUUGGGGGUGGCUAGUAUUGGUCGGCCAGAGGUGAAAUUACUUUGUAUUCGAUCAAGACUAACUUAUGCGAAAGCAUUCACCAACGGAUGUCUUCUUUAAUUCAAGAACGAAAGUUAGGGGGAGUCGAAGACGAUUAG